CAGUCGCGAGGCUGUCAAACCAGUCCGCUCUGCAAAAGUAGUACCGCAUAUAUACUUGGUGCUUUGUUCACACCGUUAUGUCUUUUUAUAGCUCAUACCUAGUGCUUUAAAUUUAAAUAUAACUCACAUUCUUUUCUCUACUGGAUUGUUUUAUAACCUUCAUAUUUAACUAGGUAUGCAGGAACCCAUACUUCUGCAUCGCUCGACCAAGAUAACCAAAGUUCCUCCCCGAGACGGCUACAAUUGGUGGGAUCAUUGUUACUGCUAAGAAACAUUGAUAUGGGUUUAAAUCCUGGAAUUUGUGAUCCAAUAGUACUGGAAUUGAGAAGUAGUGCCGCAGUAGUCUAGUACCUCCAACCUUUUAAUUGUUUAGACUUCAUUGCCUCAGAUACUCAUUCGGAAUAUUCUAAUCUUUCAAGGUGCAUGGUUGAAGAGAAGAUUUUCCCAUUCAAAUCAAAUAAUACUUCCCUCUAAUUUAGUGCUCGAUCUGUACUGCUUAUAAUGCUGUUCGCUUCACUGUCACACUUUGUUUCACUAUUUCCUUUCUAUAGCUCGGCAAGCUCGUAAACAGAUUUCUAGUAAUUGAUUCAAGUAGUUUAUAAAAAUAAUUAAUUACUGGGGCCCACAGAAAUUUGCAGCACCAGCAAUCAUGUCAUGCCAAAUUCAGUAUACAAGUGUUACAUCUGAGCCAAUUUCCUAUCCAAUUCAAUAAUGCGCUUUAACUAAGUCUCUCAUGCUGGUGUCCUGUAGAUAACAUACGCAGGUAACCUCAUAAAGAUGAUUCCUCAACAAAUUGUAUCAAAUGGCUGUGGGCCUGGGGCCGCUGGUGUCGUCGGUCACAGCCAGCGCAGACAAGAAGCACCAACUCCAGCCCAACCCCACUCCCCAACGGAGCACGGACCACCAGCCAAUCCCACACACAAAGCGCUGCAGCAACUCGGCCUCUUCCCCGCGCCAGCUGCAAGCCUGGCCCGGCCCAACACCACCGGCCACCCCCGGAUAGGGACGAGACACCCUGGAGGGGACGGGGAUGGGGACGGCCCAACAGCAACUCAACAGACCUGGGCCCGACCACCGAAUUCUCGCUCAUUCACCAAAGCAUAAUAAAGCAAUAAAAACUUAGCUUUUAACAAAGGAACAAUUAAUACAACUAUUUCAUAGUAUGAAAGCAAUAUUUACUUACCUAGAAGAAUCAAAGCUGGAAAAAACAUAAGAAAUGCAGGUCCACUGCUUUCCAGGGCUGUUUAUGCAUAGUGACCUUUGACCCGAGCAUGCGCAGUCAGAAUACUGAACUUGCUUAUUAGCUACAGAUAGGGUGAUUGACUUGGUCACUCAAGAAUU